rnacentral:rRNA from 1 species
AUUGAACGCUGGCGGCAGGCCUAACACAUGCAAGUCGAACGAGUGGCGGACGGGUGAGUCAUGUCUGGGAAACUGCCUGAUGGAGGGGGAUAACUACUGGAAACGGUAGCUAAUACCGCCUACCAUCGGAUGUGCCCAGAUGGGAUUAGCUAGUAGGUGGGGUAAAGGCUGACCUAGGCGACGAUCCAUAGCUGGUCUGAGAGGAUGACAAGCCACACUGGAACUGAGCCACGGUCCAGACUCCUACGGUAGGCAGCAGUGGGGAAGAUUGCACAAUGGGCGCAAGCCUGAGGCAGGCAUGCAGCUUGUAUGAAGAAGGCCUGCGGGUUGUAGAGUACUUUCAGCGGGGAAGGGUUACCCGCAGAAGAAGCACCGGCUAACUCCGUGCCAGCAGCCGCGGUAAUUC